UACAGGGGGUGCAAACGUUGCUCGGAAUCAUUGGGCGUAAAGCGCACGUAGGCGGUUCGUUAUGUCGGAUGUGAAAGCCCUUGGCUUAACCGAGGAAGUGCAUCCGAAACUGGCGAGCUAGAGUACUAAAGAGGAUCGCGGAAUUCCCGGUGUAGAGGUGAAAUUCGUAGAUAUCGGGAGGAACACCGGUGGCGAAGGCGGCGAUCUGGGUAGAUACUGACGCUGAGGUGCGAAAGCGUGGGGGAGCAAAACAGGG
rnacentral:rRNA from 1 species